GAUGAACGCUGGCGGCGUGCUUAACACAUGCAAGUCGAACGGAGAAGCUCCAGCCUGCUGGAGCGGACCAGUGGCGAACGGGUGAGUAACACGCGAGCAACCCGCCCCUGACACUGGGAUAUGCGCUGGAAACGGCGGCGAAUACAGGAGACGAGAAGGGUCAGCACGGGCACCUUCUGGAAAGUACGGCGGUUGGGGCUUGGCUCGCGGCCUAUCAGCCGGUUGGUGAAGUAGUGGAGGACGAAGGCGACGACGGGUAGCCGGCCUUGGAGGCCGACCGGCGUCCCUGGGCCUACGGCACGGCGCAGUCUGCUACGGGCGGCAGCGGUGGGGAACCUUGCGCAGUGGGCGCGAGCCUGUUGCGGCGGCGCCGCGUUCGUGAUGCCGUCCUUCGGGUUGUGAACCUCUUUCAGCGGGGAUGAGGCGAACUUGACGGUACCUGCAGAAGAAGCACCGGCUAACUACGUG
rnacentral:rRNA from 1 species